rnacentral:rRNA from 1 species
UACGUAGGGUGCGAGCGUUAAUCGGAAUUACUGGGCGUAAAGCGUGCGCAGGCGGUUUGUUAAGUCAGAUGUGAAAGCCCCGGGCUUAACCUGGGAAUGGCCUUUGUGACUGCACGGCUAGAGUGUGUCAGAGGGGGGUAGAAUUCCACGUGUAGCAGUGAAAUGCGUAGAGAUGUGGAGGAAUACCGAUGGCGAAGGCAGCCCCCUGGGAUAACACUGACGCUCAUGCACGAAAGCGUGGGGAGCAAACAGG